rnacentral:lncRNA from 1 species
CAAUGUACUCUACUUGUCUUCAACCUUUUAUUGACACCUAUAAACUAGCUGCCUCAAAUCCAGCGAACGGGGGACGCUGUCACGCUGAAGACUAUUGCCAGAUUGCUUGCUUGCGCGGCUGCCAACCAACAACACACCCGUAAAAAGCCCGAGCAUAUGUUGGGCUCCAAAUGCAUAGUGGUGGGCUCCCCCUUAUUUUGUGGGCCCAUUUCGUAACUCGGAUCGAGAGGCCCAUUUGAACACUGCUCGUGUGCCAGCCCAAAAUGGAUUCUUUUUGGGGCAGGUCCGCUGUCCUCUUCGAGACUUCAAGGAUAAGGGCUUCCCCCAAUAUAUUCGCGUUUCGUGAAAUCUACGACGCAGAUUUUACCUAAACACAAGGACACCGUUGUAUAAAAUGGAUAGGAGAAGAACGGCCACUAGAGGAUUGAGAUAUUUACCGACCCCCAUGCGUGCCACGGCAAUUUUCCAGCAGCUCCUUGCAUUGGGUUGGGUCCUCCUUGUUGACAGCAGCUCCAGUUCAUCAUCAUCAUCACUGGCACUUGUCAAUAAGUAAAUUGACGCACGCGGAUCACGACCUCGAUCCAUGGCC